rnacentral:rRNA from 1 species
AAUAGAUACCCCGGUAGUCCACGCCGUAAACGAUGAGUGCUAAGUGUUAGGGGGGUUUUCCGGCCCCUUAGUGCUGCAGCUAACGCAUUAAGCACUCCGCCUGGGGAGUACGGUCGCAAGACUGAAACUCAAAGGAAUUGACGGGGGCCCGCACAAGCGGUGGAGCAUGUGGUUUAAUUCGAAGCAACGCGAAGAACCUUACCAGGUCUUGACAUCCCACUGACCGCUAUGGAGACAUAGUUUUCCCUUCGGGGACAGCGGUGACAGGUGGUGCAUGGUUGUCGUCAGCUCGUGUCGUGAGAUGUUGGGUUAAGUCCCGCAACGAGCGCAACCCUUGUCCUUACGUUGCCAUCAUUCAGUUGGGCACUCUAAGGAGACUGCCGGCUAAAAGUCGGAGGAAGGUGGGGAGUGACGUCAAAUCAUCAUGCCCCUUAUGACCUGGGCUACACACGUGCUACAAUGGACGGUACAAACGGUUGCGAAGUCGCGAGACGGAGCUAAUCCGAAAAAACCGUUCUCAGUUCGGAUUGCAGGCUGCAACUCG